GAGAGAGAGAGAGAGAGAGAGAGAGGCUGGGAGCGAGCGGGGAAAGCAACAACUGCGGAGAAAGUGAGCACAAAACAGAAAGUGAAAUCGGCGCGGGCUGCCAGCCGCAUCCCCGCGCAGCUAUCACCACUCACAGGGCCAUUAGACACAUGAAACCCUACACCGCUUGCUCUCGCUAAUGACCACUGAUUGCCCGGAGUGGUGAGGAAAGAAAUUUGCAGACUAGGUUAGACCCAGAAGCACACUCAGCCCCACUGCGAAUGAACCUGGCUUCAGCAGGACGUGAUGAAAAUUGAGCAUUAACGCGAUGGCACAGGACAGAUCUGACCUGGCUCUGUUUCAUUUUGUUAACAAGCUGUAAAACUCGACACACUGCUGGAGUCGUGCACGUUGCAUCCUCUGCCUUUGCUAUCCGAGGUGCUAUCGCCCCGCUCGAGGCGAGUUCAGAGAAAAUGAGUUGUAAGUCAGAACCUCUUGGAAUAGUGGACCUGUUUUAGACAAUAUUUUUGGCAAUCCCACUACAAUAAAAGGAGUAACCAAGUCGUAUUCGGCAAGCAGCAAACACCUUGAAAUAGAACUUUAUAAUCAUCUAAUAAAGCUUUAUAAUCAAAUUA